CUAGUGAGCGCCAUUUUGGAAUUGGGCAGAGAGUAGCACAGUUGUAGAAAUCCGGGCCAGCCAUUUUUAGUUAGGGGAUUGGCACCUUUUGUGGACGUGGGCAGCCAUUCUUGUUUGGGGCUGAAGCCUGACAAUUGAAGUUAGCCGUUCUCAUUUUUACCUUGGGCAAAAUUUCCCUUCCCGGUCGUUUUAAUUUCUGAAGUCGAGGAAGGAAACCCCCAGAAUCCAUCAGGUGGCUGAGGUUUAACCCCUUCGUUGCCUAAUUGGCUAAAGGACAUUUCUGUUUAUCGUAUAAACUCAAAGUUGGGAAGGGAUAUUUUGCACAAGAAAUUGUAUCUUGAAAGCCAUUCUGUAUCUCAAAGUGGUGGGAAUGGGGCUUGUAAAAGGAACUAAAGGGUAGCGUCCAUCAUCAGGAAGUUCGUUGUCUGGUAGAGGAGACAUUGUCCUUGCCCUUAGCGAACAGCAAGUAAGUUAGCCGUUCACGUCGCGGAAAGAGGUAAAACCAUUCUCCAGAAGCUGUAGCUCCAAAGACUCCCCAGUUUCACUCAACGCAUUUAAUUUCCCACUAUUACUGUUAUUUUGCACUUCCUGGUGUGUUCUGAGGUCAGUCGUGGAUGCUCUGGCUCCCAGACUAGGGUCAACUCGAGUGUCUCUUGCCAACAACUUAUCUGGAAGGACCAUGACUCUCUGGACUCAGAAGAUCCAAUUCUUCAGCUGUGCCAUCUCCAUUGGUUCUUCUUCCACUGUCCUGGUCCUCAAUUCCUGGUGUUAUGGCUUUAGAACAAAAUUUAAACACCGUGUCCUUGAGACUAUCCACCUUAGCCUUCUUUCCAACAGAAGAAUGCAUCUGCCUACUACUAUGCCAUAUUAUCUUUAGAACCACUCUGUGAGGUUAAUGGAGGUGAUUUUUGCAGAGAGAAAGGACUCCACCUGCCCAAAGCAUUUCAAGAUUCGUCAUUUAGGGCUUUGCCCUCUAACACACACUGUAUGGCUUAACCAAUAAAAAUUACCCAUCAUCUCCUAAGAAUGACUGAGA